rnacentral:rRNA from 1 species
UGCUUUUUUCCAUUAACGGAGGAAAAGAAACGAACCAGGAUUCCCCUAGUAACGGCGAGCGAACCGGGAAGAGCCCAGCGUGUCAAUCUGGCCCUUCGGGGUCCGAGUUGUGGUCUGGAGGGCGGUGCUCCGCGCGGUCCGAACGCCAAGUCCGCUGGAAAGCGGCGUCGCAGAGGGUGACAACCCCGUGGGCGUUCGGGUUCCGCGCUUCUCGAGCCCGUUCCGCGGAGUCGGGUUGCUUGGGAAUGCAGCUCUAAGCCGGUGGUAAAUCCCAUCGAAGGCUAAAUAUCGGCGGGAGACCGAUAGCGAACAAGUACCGUGAGGGAAAGAUGAAAAGAACUUUGAAAAGAGAGUCAAAAAGUGCCUGAACUCGUUGAGAGGGAAGCGACGUGGACUCGUCGAUCCUUCGGGGGCCGAUGGGCCGCUCUUUGCGGCCCUUGACGCCCCCCGAGAGGUCAGCGUGGGUUGGGCGCCGCGCACAUCCCCGGAAGGCCGCGUGCCUCCGGGCUUGCGCGUCGUUCGACCGAGGUUUCCAGGGGGCGGGCCUCGCGCCCGGGGGUCUUUUUUCCCUCCUGCCCCUUCCGGACCGCUGGCCGAGACGACCUCGUCGGCCCGUCUUGAAACCAAAAAACCCA